rnacentral:rRNA from 1 species
UACGUAGGGUGCAAGCGUUAAUCGGAAUUACUGGGCGUAAAGCGUGCGCAGGCGGUUUUGUAAGUCUGUCGUGAAAGCCCCGGGCUCUACCUGGGAAUUGCGAUGGAGACUGCAAGGCUUGAAUCUGGCAGAGGGGGGUAGAAUUCCACGUGUAGCAGUGAAAUGCGUAGAGAUGUGGAGGAACACCGAUGGCGAAGGCAGCCCCCUGGGUCAAGAUUGACGCUCAUGCACGAAAGCGUGGGGAGCAAACAGG